rnacentral:tRNA from 2 species
GGCUGCGUGGUGUAAUGGUAAGCACAUCCAACUAUGACUGGUCGUAGUCGGGAGGUGUGGGUUCGAAUCCCACCUCAGUCU